UACAGAGGUCCCAAGCGUUGUUCGGAUUCAUUGGGCGUAAAGGGUGCGUAGGCGGCGUGGUAAGUCGGCUGUGAAAUCUCGGAGCUUAACUCCGAAACUGCAUUCGAUACUGCCGUGCUUGAGGACUGGAGAGGAGACUGGAAUUUACGGUGUAGCGGUGAAAUGCGUAGAGAUCGUAAGGAAGACCAGUGGCGAAGGCGGGUCUCUGGACAGUUCCUGACGCUGAGGCACGAAGGCCAGGGGAGCAAACGGC
rnacentral:rRNA from 1 species